UUACAUGGUCGAUAAAGGGUUUUGUAAGGGUUUUUUUUUUAUAUAUAUACGCAGUCAGCUUAAACAAAAAUUCGAAAAAAAUAACUGGCGAUUUGUAGGCUAUUCAGUACCCUUGUUUGAAGUUAUUUCUGCGCUACGUAGCUGCUGCUCUGUAGCUCCCGGUCUGAAAAAAUUCGAUGGACCCCCAGGUCGUCCAUCCGCAUUUUUCAGACCGGGAGCUACAGUCCUGCAGAUAUAGGCUCUACGGUGCCCUUUACAUCAUAUUUCUGCACCGGAAGUGCAAUUUACAUAAUUAUAAAAUGUAAAUUGCUUUUUCCUCUGAAAUGUCAAGUCUGUCAAAUAACAAAAGACUUCAGGGAUUUAAGUCUUAUUAGUAUUAUUGCAAAAAAAAAAAUCAUUUGAAACAUACCAACAGUCAUUUCUUUUUUACACCAUUUUUUAUUAAAGCAAUUUCAUUUGUCUAGUUUUGAUAGAUGUUUGUGACAUUUGCAAUCAAACGUAUAUAUGUACGUAUAUCCGGAGGAAAGAGAACACAUCGACAAAUUGCUGUCGUUUCAAGACAAAAUUGCUUCCUCCUUGUUGAUUUGACAUUUCUUUCUGAGAUGCAAUAUUGAGUUUCACUUGCUAAACGUCACAAGUUAUCAAAAUGUGUUUCUUGUGUUAAGGAAGUAGAUUAUAUUUCUCUCAAGACUUUUAGCUUUUAUUUGAAAUAAUUUCCGCUAUUUUCCAACGAAAAGGGACAAAAAUUAUGGGUAUCGUACUUUAAGCAACACAGAGCAUAAAAAAUGGAGUAUUUUGAUCAAAACAUUUUUCAUACGAUGCAAAUGACUUUUUGUCACACAAUAUCAAUCUUUUCCCAGUGGUUUACAAAGCCUAAGUCAUUGUUCCCAGCAUAAUCCAUUUUGAAUCGCACGCAUGAAAGGAAAAAAACAAUUAUAGCAGCGUGGAAAAAGUAGUGAUAACUUUGCUCCCUAUAUUAUAUUUUCGUUUUGUUCGAUCGAUAAUUGUAUAAAAAAGGAGUGAUUGUGCUUUACCAGGUUUGUAUUUAUGUUGCGAGAGUGUGGCGCGCGCUGACUUGGGGGCUCCUCCGAUGACUGACCACUACAUUGGGUUUUUGAUGGUGAAGUGACAACGCGUGUAUCCAGCCUCUCCGCCACGUCAAGAUCAAUAGGUUCAGAUCAUUUACAUAGCUACUAGUAGGAUCGACGCAGGAACUGGCAUGAAACUCACUUCUAGGAAUUAGAAAUAGGAAAUUGGCGUGUAAUACUAUACACGCCUUGUGUACAUCACGGUAACAAUUGUACAACCGCAGGUGUGUCUGGGUACUUAUACUGAUUUUUUCUUUAAUCUAGUGUUCAUAAGAUACUCUGUGAAACAUGCAAUACAUCAACUUUUAAAUCUUGAUGUCGACAUCCGUGAGACAGUAUCAUGUCAUAAUACUGUCAUACUUGUUGACUCACCUUUCUGCUAGAACCUGAGAAUUACCAAAGUGCUACAAAGACGACGUAAGAAAUUUUUCUACAGGUGAGAAUGGACAGGGACGAAUUGAAGAGACAGGUGGAGACCCUACGCUACCACAAGAGUCUAGAGAGAAUACCAGUAUCCGAAGCCAUCAAACGGUUGAUCGAGUUCAUAGAUGAGAAGAUGCCCGAGGAUGGACUGGUUGUUACACCCGACAAGAAGAAGAAUCCGUGGGCCGAGAACAGAAAGUGCGCCAUUCUGUAAAGACUGAAUCACACACACGGACAAUGUUUUAUAGGCAGCUGUGCGUUGACAAUUCUGCGAAAUUAGCUGUCCAUAUAGGGCCUUUUUAUGGGGUUUUUUUGUUUACCUAGUAGUGGCUGUUGUAUUAUUACAAUGUAUUUUCUAGAUCGAAAAAUUUUGGACCCAUCUCUUUAUUAUUACAAACAAACUAUGUGUAUUAUAUAUAUCUGAAGAUACACGAAUGCAUAACACUGUUGAAAGACAAAGGUUUCAAAUAAAUUCUUCUAGACUUCUUC